UACGUAGGGUGCGAGCGUUGUCCGGAAUUACUGGGCAUAAAGAGCUCGUAGGUGGUUUGUCGCGUUGUUCGUGAAAACUCACAGCUUAACUGUGGGCGUGCGGGCGAUACGGGCAGACUGGAGUACUGCAGGGGAGACUGGAAUUCCUGGUGUAGCGGUGGAAUGCGCAGAUAUCAGGAGGAACACCGGUGGCGAAGGCGGGUCUCUGGGCAGUAACUGACGCUGAGGAGCGAAAGCGUGGGGAGCGAACAGG
rnacentral:rRNA from 1 species